AUUGAACGCUGGCGGCAGGCCUAACACAUGCAAGUCGAGCGGAUGAAGGGAGCUUGCUCCUGGAUUCAGCGGCGGACGGGUGAGUAAUGCCUAGGAAUCUGCCUGGUAGUGGGGGAUAACGUCCGGAAACGGGCGCUCAUACCGCAUACGUCCUGAGGGAGAAAGUGGGGGAUCUUCGGACCUCACGCUAUCAGAUGAGCCUAGGUCGGAUUAGCUAGUUGGUGGGGUAAAGGCCUACCAAGGCGACGAUCCGUAACUGGUCUGAGAGGAUGAUCAGUCACACUGGAACUGAGACACGGUCCAGACUCCUACGGGAGGCAGCAGUGGGGAAUAUUGGACAAUGGGCGAAAGCCUGAUCCAGCCAUGCCGCGUGUGUGAAGAAGGUCUUCGGAUUGUAAAGCACUUUAAGUUGGGAGGAAGGGCAGUAAGUUAAUACCUUGCUGUUUUGACGUUACCAACAGAAUAAGCACCGGCUAACCUCGUG
rnacentral:rRNA from 1 species